rnacentral:rRNA from 1 species
GAUGAACGCUGGCGGCGUGCCUAACACAUGCAAGUCGAGCGAUUUACUUCGGUAAAGAGCGGCGGACGGGUGAGUAACGCGUGGGUAACCUGCCCUGUACACACGGAUAACAUACCGAAAGGUAUGCUAAUACGAGAUAAUAUACUUUUAUCGCAUGGUAGAAGUAUCAAAGCUCCGGCGGUACAGGAUGGACCCGCGUCUGAUUAGCUAGUUGGUGAGGUAACGGCUCACCAAGGCGACGAUCAGUAGCCGACCUGAGAGGGUGAUCGGCCACAUUGGAACUGAGACACGGUCCAAACUCCUACGGGAGGCAGCAGUGGGGAAUAUUGCACAAUGGGCGAAAGCCUGAUGCAGCAACGCCGCGUGAGCGAUGAAGGCCUUCGGGUCGUAAAGCUCUGUCCUCAAGGAAGAUAAUGACGGUACUUGAGGAGGAAGCCCCGGCUAACUAC